CACGGUCUUCUGUUUCAUGAAAUUUACUGGCAAUCCAAAGACAAACACAUGCUACUAACUGAAUGUGUUUGCAGUAUACCACUCUCCUCGAGACAUAUGAAUCCAUGAGGGAAAUACUAAGCGGAAGAGUAUCAAUAGACAAGUCGAAUCCAUUAUGUAUUUCUACAAUAAAAUUAACGAGUGCAGGUCGCAUUGACCAUCUGAGUUCCGGUUGCUG